rnacentral:rRNA from 1 species
AGAGUUUGAUCCUGGCUCAGAACGAACGCUGGCGGCAGGCCUAACACAUGCAAGUCGAGCGAGAUCUUCGGAUCUAGCGGCGGACGGGUGAGUAACGCGUGGGAAUGUGCCCUUCUCUACGGAAUAGUCCCGGGAAACUGGGUUUAAUACCGUAUACGCCCCUCGGGGGAAAGAUUUAUCGGAGAAGGAUCAGCCCGCGUUGGAUUAGGUAGUUGGUGGGGUAAUGGCCUACCAAGCCGACGAUCCAUAGCUGGUUUGAGAGGAUGAUCAGCCACACUGGGACUGAGACACGGCCCAGACUCCUACGGGAGGCAGCAGUGGGGAAUCUUAGACAAUGGGGGAAACCCUGAUCUAGCCAUGCCGCGUGAGUGACGAAGGCCCUAGGGUCGUAAAGCUCCUUCGCCAGGGAUGAUAAUGACAGUACCUGGUAAAGAAACCCCGGCUAACUCCGUGCCAGCAGCCGCGGUAAUACGGAGGGGGUUAGCGUUGUUCGGAAUUACUGGGCGUAAAGCGCACGUAGGCGGACUAUUAAGUCAGGGGUGAAAUCCCGGGGGCUCAACCCCGGAACUGCCUUUGAUACUGGGUA